rnacentral:rRNA from 1 species
AGUGAACGCUGGCGGCGUGCUUAACACAUGCAAGUCGAACGAGAACGGAUUAUAGCUUGCUAUAAUUGUCAGCUAAGUGGCGCACGGGUGAGUAAUGUAUAGAUAACCUGCCCUCUAGAAAGGAAUAACAGUUGGAAACGAGUGCUAAUGCCCUAUAUGCCUUUAAUACAUAAGUAUGCAAGGGACACGCUUUAGUGAUAGAGGAUGGGUCUGUAUGGUAUCAGUUAGUUGGUGAGGUAGUGGCUCACCAAGACUAUGACGCCUAACUGGUUUGAGAGGAUGAUCAGUCACACUGGAACUGAGACACGGUCCAGACUCCUACGGGAGGCAGCAGUGGGGAAUAUUGCACAAUGGACGAAAGUCUGAUGCAGCAACGCCGCGUGGAGGAUGACACAUUUCGGUGCGUAAACUCCUUUUAUAUAGGAAGAUAAUGACGGUACUAUAUGAAUAAGCACCGGCUAACUCCGUGCCAGCCGCCGCCGUAA